rnacentral:rRNA from 1 species
AUGUUUUUUUGCGAUCAUGACCUUCUUAAGGGAGCGACUGGAGCGGUUCUGAGGGACGACAAAGGAAAUUUUAUUGCAGGGGGUUGCUGGAGAAUUGACUGGUGUGCGGAUGUUCUUACGGCGAAAGCUCUGGCGCUUAAGUUUGGGCUAUCCCUGGCGCAAUGGGGAGGAUAUAAUCAACUUGUCAUCAAUUCUGAUAACUUGGAGGUCAUCGAGACUAUGAAUAAUGGACGAAGGUCGGCAGGAGUGGCGGCGGCAAUUUUUUAUGAUUGUUAUUUUAUUGCUUGUGAUUUUUCUAUGUCCAAGUUUGAACAUUGUAAUAGAAAAGCAAAUAAAGUAGCUCAUGAACUUGCUAGGUUGGCUAGAUUUCCUGAUAUUGUUGGUUGGUUUGAGGAGCCACUGAAUGAAAUUGUACCCUUCCUCUUAAACGAUGUAUCAGUUAUUUCAAUUGAAUAA